UACGAAGGGUGCAAGCGUUACUCGGAAUUACUGGGCGUAAAGCGUGCGUAGGCGGUUUGUUAAGUCUGAUGUGAAAGCCCUGGGCUCAACCUGGGAAUGGCAUUGGAUACUGGCAACCUAGAAUGUGGUAGAGGGUGGCGGAAUUCCCGGUGUAGCAGUGAAAUGCGUAGAUAUCGGGAGGAACAUCCGUGGCGAAGGCGGCCACCUGGACCAACAUUGACGCUGAGGCGCGAAAGCUAGGGGGAGCAAACGGG
rnacentral:rRNA from 1 species